UUGAUAUAGGUACUUUGAUGAUUGAAACAUAUUCAUGUUUGUCUAUCUGUAAUUUCUUCCUUCCACCAAAUGUGUCAGAGUAUGGCCUCCUCAUAUUCUCUUGAUGUCACAUAGAUACCAACAGAACAAGCAAGAUGUCCAUGGGCAGGGCAAUCCGUACUGCGGCACUUUAGAACUCAAGGAGCAGCAUUCAAGAGCUCCAUAAUUGGAAAUAAAUUGAAAGGAUCAAGUAAUCAUGAUGACAACAAUCACAAAAUGGAAUAAAGACAACAAAAGAAUAAAAAACGAGACUCUUCUUACCUGCUGUUCUGUUUUUAUAAUUUUACUGUUUAGUUUCAUGUGUGGAAAUAAAACUGCUAAUGUGGGCUAGGCAAGUGAAUGUAAAAAUGUUUCAAUAAACUUUAUAUC